rnacentral:rRNA from 1 species
AUUGAACGCUGGCGGCAGGCCUAACACAUGCAAGUCGAGCGGCAGCAGGGGGCUUGCCCCUGGGUUGCGCGGGGGGCGGGUGUGUGAAGCCCAGGAAUCUGUCUGGUGGUGGGGGGUAACGUCCGGCAAAGGGCGCAUUUAUACCAUAUGUGCUGUGCGAGAAAGAGCGGGGUCUUCUGAGCCCACGCUAUCAGAUGAUCCUAGGUCGGAUUAGCUAGUUGGUGGGGUGAAGGCCUACCAAGGCGACGCUCAGUAGCUGGUCUGAGAGGAUGAGCAGUCACACUGGAACUGAGACACGGCCCAGACUCCUACGGGAGGCAGCAGUGGGGAAUUUUGGACAAUGGGCGAAAGCCUGAUCCAGCCAUGCCGCGUGUGUGAAGAAGGUCUUCGGAUUGUAAAGCACUUUAGGUUGGGAAGAAAGGCAUGGAGUUAAUACCGUGCUGUGUUGACGGUACCGACAGAAUAAGCACCGGCUAACUACGUG